UUAAGUUAUUAAGGGCGCACGGUGGAUGCCUUGGCACUAGAAGCCGAUGAAGGACGUUACUAACGACGAUAUGCUUUGGGGAGCUGUAAGUAAGCUUUGAUCCAGAGAUUUCCGAAUGGGGAAACCCAGCAUGAGUUAUGUCAUGUUAUCGAUAUGUGAAUACAUAGCAUAUCAGAAGGCACACCCGGAGAACUGAAACAUCUUAGUACCCGGAGGAAGAGAAAGAAAAUUCGAUUCCCUUAGUAGCGGCGAGCGAAACGGGAAGAGCCCAAACCAACAAGCUUGCUUGUUGGGGUUGUAGGACACUCUAUACGGAGUUACAAAGGACGACAUUAGACGAAUCAUCUGGAAAGAUGAAUCAAAGAAGGUAAUAAUCCUGUAGUCGAAAAUGUUGUCUCUCUUGAGUGGAUCCUGAGUACGACGGAGCACGUGAAAUUCCGUCGGAAUCUGGGAGGACCAUCUCCUAAGGCUAAAUACUCUCUAGUGACCGAUAGUGAACCAGUACCGUGAGGGAAAGGUGAAAAGCACCCCGGAAGGGGAGUGAAAUAGAACCUGAAACCGUGUGCUUACAAGUAGUCAGAGCCCGUUAAUGGGUGAUGGCGUGCCUUUUGUAGAAUGAACCGGCGAGUUACGAUUUGAUGCAAGGUUAAGCAGUAAAUGUGGAGCCGUAGCGAAAGCGAGUCUGAAUAGGGCGUUUAGUAUUUGGUCGUAGACCCGAAACCAGGUGAUCUACCCUUGGUCAGGUUGAAGUUCAGGUAACACUGAAUGGAGGACCGAACCGACUUACGUUGAAAAGUGAGCGGAUGAACUGAGGGUAGCGGAGAAAUUCCAAUCGAACCUGGAGAUAGCUGGUUCUCUCCGAAAUAGCUUUAGGGCUAGCCUCAAGUGAUGAUUAUUGGAGGUAGAGCACUGUUUGGACGAGGGGCCCCUCUCGGGUUACCGAAUUCAGACAAACUCCGAAUGCCAAUUAAUUUAACUUGGGAGUCAGAACAUGGGUGAUAAGGUCCGUGUUCGAAAGGGAAACAGCCCAGACCACCAGCUAAGGUCCCAAAAUAUAUGUUAAGUGGAAAAGGAUGUGGCGUUGCCCAGACAACUAGGAUGUUGGCUUAGAAGCAGCCAUCAUUUAAAGAGUGCGUAAUAGCUCACUAGUCGAGUGACACUGCGCCGAAAAUGUACCGGGGCUAAACAUAUUACCGAAGCUGUGGAUUGUCCUUUGGACAAUGGUAGGAGAGCGUUCUAAGGGCGUUGAAGCAUGAUCGUAAGGACAUGUGGAGCGCUUAGAAGUGAGAAUGCCGGUGUGAGUAGCGAAAGACGGGUGAGAAUCCCGUCCACCGAUUGACUAAGGUUUCCAGAGGAAGGCUCGUCCGCUCUGGGUUAGUCGGGUCCUAAGCUGAGGCCGACAGGCGUAGGCGAUGGAUAACAGGUUGAUAUUCCUGUACCACCUAUAAUUGUUUUAAUCGAUGGGGGGACGCAGUAGGAUAGGCGAAGCGUGCGAUUGGAUUGCACGUCUAAGCAGUAAGGCUGAGUAUUAGGCAAAUCCGGUACUCGUUAAGGCUGAGCUGUGAUGGGGAGAAGACAUUGUGUCUUCGAGUCGUUGAUUUCACACUGCCGAGAAAAGCCUCUAGAUAGAAAAUAGGUGCCCGUACCGCAAACCGACACAGGUAGUCAAGAUGAGAAUUCUAAGGUGAGCGAGCGAACUCUCGUUAAGGAACUCGGCAAAAUGACCCCGUAACUUCGGGAGAAGGGGUGCUCUUUAGGGUUAACGCUCAGAAGAGCCGCAGUGAAUAGGCCCAAGCGACUGUUUAUCAAAAACACAGGUCUCUGCUAAACCGUAAGGUGAUGUAUAGGGGCUGACGCCUGCCCGGUGCUGGAAGGUUAAGAGGAGUGGUUAGCUUCUGCGAAGCUACGAAUCGAAGCCCCAGUAAACGGCGGCCGUAACUAUAACGGUCCUAAGGUAGCGAAAUUCCUUGUCGGGUAAGUUCCGACCCGCACGAAAGGCGUAACGAUUUGGGCACUGUCUCAACGAGAGACUCGGUGAAAUCAUAGUACCUGUGAAGAUGCAGGUUACCCGCGACAGGACGGAAAGACCCCGUGGAGCUUUACUGUAGCCUGAUAUUGAAAUUCGGCACAGCUUGUACAGGAUAGGUAGGAGCCUUUGAAACGUGAGCGCUAGCUUACGUGGAGGCGCUGGUGGGAUACUACCCUAGCUGUGUUGGCUUUCUAACCCGCACCACUUAUCGUGGUGGGAGACAGUGUCAGGCGGGCAGUUUGACUGGGGCGGUCGCCUCCUAAAAGGUAACGGAGGCGCUCAAAGGUUCCCUCAGAAUGGUUGGAAAUCAUUCAUAGAGUGUAAAGGCAUAAGGGAGCUUGACUGCGAGACCUACAAGUCGAGCAGGGUCGAAAGACGGACUUAGUGAUCCGGUGGUUCCGCAUGGAAGGGCCAUCGCUCAACGGAUAAAAGCUACCCCGGGGAUAACAGGCUUAUCUCCCCCAAGAGUUCACAUCGACGGGGAGGUUUGGCACCUCGAUGUCGGCUCAUCGCAUCCUGGGGCUGUAGUCGGUCCCAAGGGUUGGGCUGUUCGCCCAUUAAAGCGGUACGCGAGCUGGGUUCAGAACGUCGUGAGACAGUUCGGUCCCUAUCCGUCGUGGGCGUAGGAAAUUUGAGAGGAGCUGUCCUUAGUACGAGAGGACCGGGAUGGACAUACCUCUGGUGUACCAGUUGUCGUGCCAACGGCAUAGCUGGGUAGCUAUGUGUGGACGGGAUAAGUGCUGAAAGCAUCUAAGCAUGAAGCCCCCCUCAAGAUGAGAUUUCCCAACUUCGGUUAUAAGAUCCCUCAAAGAUGAUGAGGUUAAUAGGUUCGAGGUGGAAGCAUGGUGACAUGUGGAGCUGACGAAUACUAAUCGAUCGAAGACUUAAUCAA
rnacentral:rRNA from 1 species